GUGGGGAAUAUUGGACAAUGGGCGCAAGCCUGAUCCAGCAAUGCCGCGUGGGUGAAGAAGGUCUUCGGAUCGUAAAGCCCUUUCGACAGGGACGAUGAUGACGGUACCUGUAGAAGAAGCCCCGGCUAACUUCGUGCCAGCAGCCGCGGUAAUACGAAGGGGGCUAGCGUUACUCGGAAUUACUGGGCGUAAAGGGCGCGUAGGCGGCUCUGUUAGUCAGGCGUGAAAUUCCUGGGCUUAACCUGGGUACGGCGCUUGAUACUGCAGGGCUUGAGGCCGAGAGAGGGUGGUGGAAUUCCCAGUGUAGAGGUGAAAUUCGUAGAUAUUGGGAAGAACACCGGUGGCGAAGGCGACCACCUGGCUCGGUUCUGACGCUGAGGCGCGACAGCGUGGGGAGCAAACAGGAUUAGAUACCCCGGUAGUCC
rnacentral:rRNA from 1 species